rnacentral:rRNA from 1 species
GAGUUUGAUCAUGGCUCAGAUUGAACGCUGGCGGCAGGCCUAACACAUGCAAGUCGAGCAGAUGAAGGGAGCUUGCUCCUGGAUUCAGCGGCGGACGGGUGAGUAAUGCCUAGGAAUCUGCCUGGUAGUGGGGGAUAACGUCCGGAAACGGGCGCUAAUACCGCAUACGUCCUGAGGGAGAAAGUGGGGGAUCUUCGGACCUCACGCUAUCAGAUGAGCCUAGGUCGGAUUAGCUAGUUGGUGGGGUAAAGGCCUACCAAGGCGACGAUCCGUAACUGGUCUGAGAGGAUGAUCAGUCACACUGGAACUGAGACACGGUCCAGACUCCUACGGGAGGCAGCAGUGGGGAAUAUUGGACAAUGGGCGAAAGCCUGAUCCAGCCAUGCCGCGUGUGUGAAGAAGGUCUUCGGAUUGUAAAGCACUUUAAGUUGGGUAGGAAGGGCAGUAAGUUAAUACCUUGCUGUUUUGACGUUACCAACAGAAUAAGCACCGGCUAACUUCGUGGCAGCCGCCGC